UACAGAGGUCUCAAGCGUUGUUCGGAUUCAUUGGGCGUAAAGGGCGCGUAGGCGGCCUGCUAAGUCGGACGUGAAAUCCCCCGGCUCAACCGGGGAACUGCGUCCGAUACUGGUGGGCUCGAAUCCGGGAGAGGGAUGUGGAAUUCCAGGUGUAGCGGUGAAAUGCGUAGAUAUCUGGAGGAACACCGGUGGCGAAGGCGGCAUCCUGGACCGACACUGACGCUGAGGCGCGAAAGCUAGGGUAGCAAACGGG
rnacentral:rRNA from 1 species